CUCCAGGUCUCCCUAGCACGAACGCAUUCAAAGCUGAAUGACGGUCCCAUUCGCGUGCAUCUACCAUCAGAUAGAUAGCUGACUUCGCUGAUGACUCCGUGGCAGCCUCCCCACUUCCGUGUUUGUGUCCGUAGAUGUUGACGGCACAGACUUUGCAGUGUAGCGCACGGCUUGAAUGAGUCCACGGAGCACUGAGUGAUUGCGUGUGUCGCGAGGUCCCCUAGUGCUGCUUCCAGACUGGUCUUUAUUCUAAAACUAAUAAAUGGUAAAUAAG